AGUGGACGCUGGCGGUAGGCCUAACACAUGCAAGUCGAACGGCAGCACAGUAAGAGCUUGCUCUUACGGGUGGCGAGUGGCGGACGGGUGAGGAAUACAUCGGAAUCUACUUUUUCGUGGGGGAUAACGUAGGGAAACUUACGCUAAUACCGCAUACGACCUACGGGUGAAAGCAGGGGAUCUUCGGACCUUGCGCGAUUGAAUGAGCCGAUGUCGGAUUAGCUAGUUGGCGGGGUAAAGGCCCACCAAGGCGACGAUCCGUAGCUGGUCUGAGAGGGUGAUCAGCCACACUGGAACUGAGACACGGUCCAGACUCCUACGGGAGGCAGCAGUGGGGAAUAUUGGACAAUGGGCGCAAGCCUGAUCCAGCCAUACCGCGUGGGUGAAGAAGGCCUUCGGGUUGUAAAGCCCUUUUGUUGGGAAAGAAAAGCAGCAGGUUAAUACCCCGCUGUUCUGACGGUACCCAAAGAAUAAGCACCGGCUAACUUCGUG
rnacentral:rRNA from 1 species